GUUUGAUCAUGGCUCAGAUUGAACGCUGGCGGCAGGCCUAACACAUGCAAGUCGAGCGGUAGAGAGAAGCUUGCUUCUCUUGAGAGCGGCGGACGGGUGAGUAAUGCCUAGGAAUCUGCCUGGUAGUGGGGGAUAACGUUCGGAAACGGACGCUAAUACCGCAUACGUCCUACGGGAGAAAGCAGGGGACCUUCGGGCCUUGCGCUAUCAGAUGAGCCUAGGUCGGAUUAGCUAGUUGGUGAGGUAAUGGCUCACCAAGGCGACGAUCCGUAACUGGUCUGAGAGGAUGAUCAGUCACACUGGAACUGAGACACGGUCCAGACUCCUACGGGAGGCAGCAGUGGGGAAUAUUGGACAAUGGGCGAAAGCCUGAUCCAGCCAUGCCGCGUGUGUGAAGAAGGUCUUCGGAUUGUAAAGCACUUUAAGUUGGGAGGAAGGGCAGUUAC
rnacentral:rRNA from 1 species